AUGGCGGAGCUCGCGUCAGGCGCCGUGAGCUCGCUGCUGGGCGUCAUCCGCAACGAGGCGCUGCUGCUGGGCCGCGUCCGGCACGACGUGCAGUUCAUCCAGGAGGAGAUGGAGAGCAUGCAGAGCUUCUUGACCCACCUGUCAAAGAAGGCACCCGCCGGUGGCGAGCACGACGAGCAGAUUCGCACGUGGAUGAACCAGGUCCGGCUGCUCGCCCAGGACAGCAACAACUGCAUCGAUCUGUAUCUGUACCGCGGCAACCCCGAGAUCCAUCUAGCCAGGGGCGGCCUCCGGCGGUACAUCGCGUGGCUUCCCUGGUCUGUGCACAAGAUGGUGGCGCAGCAUCGUGCGGCUAUUCAGCUGCGUGCGCUCAGGGAACGGGCGCGUGACAUCGGUGAGCGGCGAUUGAGGUACGGUGUUGAGGUCCCAGCGAAAGGGGCGGGAGUGGGGCAGUCGCCUGCAGGGGCUGGUCCCACGCUGGCAGCGAUUGGUUCGCCAGUUGUGCAUGUAGCCACAACAUCUAAUGCUUCAGGAGGUGAAGAGGAUGACAGUGACGAUCAAGACGUCAUGGCGUUGGUGGUGACAAAUCGCUCUCAUCCAAGAGGGGCGUGUUUUGAGCCUCCUCGCAAAAUCCCAACCCCAGCAGCAGGAAGUUCAAGGUGGAGGGAUGAGGAUAUCAACAAAACAAAAAGGGAAAUUCUCUCCCAAAAAGGGGAGGUUGUGAGAGAAAUCACAAAAAUUAUCCAAGGAAUGAAGGUUAACAAGAAGAUUUCAGAAAUCAAGAGCACUCUUCAAAACAUGAAGGACAACCAGCCGCAACUCAAUUUGACAGAAAUGAGUAAGGAUGAGCUGGGCCUGCUGGAAUCCGCAAAAGAUGAACCCUUGGGCAUAUUCCUCCGAGCAUUGUGGCUGCUAAAGCUCAAGCCAGCUAAAGGUGCCCCUGCACACAAACAAGUCCAAGAAAGGAAGGCAGAGACACGUUCACGCGACGAUGUCAUUAAAGAAACAGCUAAGAUGCUUAAAAAGCAUAUGGAAAUACACGCAGAAGAUGAAAAAGAAGAACCACACACAAAGCAGAUUCUUCUCAAGGAAGCCCAGUAUGAAGACCUCUUACGUGAAGUGUUCCCCCCCGUGACCAUCAGGAAGGACCCGCAGAACCAGGAGGAAGACUCCAAGCAAGCCACAGCCAUCAACACCACCGCUGGCACUACAAUUAUAUUGGUCGAGGACCAAUUCAAAGAUAUGAUCCGCAAGAUACUGCAGGAGCUGCAGGAAGACAAAUCCAUGAAGAACAAGAAAUUAGAUACAACUGAGCUGCGGGAAGACAUAUCUCUGAAGGACAAAAAACUAGAUACAACUGAGCUGCAGGAAGACAAAUCAGAGAAGAAACUAGAUACAACUGAGCUGCAAGAAGUAAAAUCCAUGAAGAAACCAAGUCAAGAUUUUAUACUGGAUGCUCUUAUUGAAGAAACCAUGGAGAGGUUUUGGGAAAUCGAGUGGGAGAUGAAUCAACAGCUCGUCAUCAAAGGGAUCAUGGACAAAAUUAGGGAUUGUUUUGAUAGAAAAGGUGAUGAGAUAAUCCUAGUUAUCCUCAAACUCGAUUAUGACUGGGUAUCCGGAUGGGAGGAGACCAAAAAGGCUUUCAGCAUUUUUGGUUGCAUAGCCGGUGCACUGAUGUUGACCUUUGAAGAAAACAGAACACGAGCAAAAGGAUAUUGUUGUCCGUCGCGGGAGCCUAUAGACUAUUCUGUUCUUGGGCUCUACCAUGAUAUCACACUCGAGCUUACAAACCAGCAGAUGAAUAAAGAGAGCGCCCAGAUUUUUCUCGGCAUCUUGGAGAACUGUCACCAACAUGAAUUCUGCAUGAAGAUCUUCGUUCAUGCUUUGUAUGCCAACCCCAAGAGGAGUGAUGAAGAACUAAGCAAGUUGCACAGAACCUUGCAGAAGGUUACAGACAAAUCAUUGGACAAAAUUGCUAAGAAGAUACUCAAGUUCUCUUAUAGUGAUAUGCCUAAAGAAUACAAGUCUUGUUUGAUGUACCUAGCAAUUUUCCCUAGACGACAACCCAUCAGGCGGUCAACCUUGAUAGGACGGUGGGUUGUCGAAGGGCUGAUAACCAAGGAAGACUGGGCCAGAAAGAUAAAGAGUUGUGUGAUAGGUGAUCUUGUUCAUGAAUUCAUUACCAAGAUCGCUAGAAAGCGGCGCAUUGUGGAAACACGCCUGUCACAUCACUUGGCUCUCCGCUUCUCCAUUUUCAAUGACCUCCGACUCCGUGGCUCGGAUAAAAUAGAUAGAUUCUUCGAAAAGCUCCAUGAAGAAUCAUCUCGAGUAUCCCUGAUCAAGGUGCUAGAUCUCCAAGAUUGCCAGUGCUUUGGAUGGAAGAAUCAAAUCUACCUCAGGGACAUAUGCAGCAAGAUGUUACUGCUCAAGUAUCUGAGCCUAAGGGGAACAGAUGUUACCCAGCUGCCGACUGAAAUCAAUAACCUCCGUGAGCUAGAAGUAUUGGAUAUCCGAGAAACAUAUGUGCCUCCAUCUGCAACAGUAAAUGUCUUACUCCUGAAGUUGAAGCGUUUGCUGGCUGGUCGCAUUGUUCCAAGUUCGGGGGUAAGUAGUACUGAACUAUUUAGUGUUGAGAUCCCUGAUAAGGUCGAAAAAAUGGUAAACAUGGAGGUAUUGUCCAAUGUCAAGGCACGGACGAGACAAGAUAUGAAAGAUAUUGGAAAGUUGUGGCAGCUCAGGAAGCUUGGUGUGGUUAUUCAAUACAAGGAGCCACACCUCAGGAAUUUUCUUCGAGCUAUCAGUGAUCUGCAUGAGUGCCUGAAGUCUCUGUCAAUCACUCUUCCCAAUAUAGAGGACAACAAAGAGAUCAGAGAUUGGGUUCUUGAACACUAUAAAAACUCUCCCAAGCUUCUCGAGAGCCUAAGCAUUACUGGAACCACACAAACAGUGCAACUUCUUCGGUUGUUGACCAGAGAUAUUGACCAACUCCAACUUCGCAAGGUAACUCUAUCUGGUACCCGGCUGUAUCAGCCUGAUCUGAAGGUCCUUGGCAAGCUUCCCAAAUUAAUAUGUCUCAGGCUCCGAGAUAACGCAUACAUCGAUAGCAACCUCACCUUCAACAAUGAUGGAUUCGAAAAUCUCAAGUGCUUUCUUAUUGAGGGUUCCAACAUAACUGCCCUCAGCUUUGGAGGUGGAGCACAUAAACUCGAGAAAAUCGUUUUGUGCUCCACCGAUGGACUGUCAAUUUCUGGAGUCGAAGACCUUCUGGAACUGAAGGAUGUCGAGUUGAAGAACAGCAAUAAGUUAUCAUUGUUUGACAAGGCCAAAAACAUAUCCAAGGUGACUCUUUGGCAUACCUCUCUGAGUCAAUAUGAGGUAGAGAUUCUCGCCAAGAUACCUAACAUGCGCAACCUAGUACUCAAGGACAUAUUUUGUGUACAAAGCCAGCUUAUCUUAUACAAAGAUGACUUCCCAAAGCUCAACCUUCUUACAGUCGACUUCUCUGUCACCCCCAAGACUAUCAUUACCGACGGAUCAGCUCCUAAGCUCGAGAAAAUCAUCUGGUCCUUCACAAAGGACACGGUGGGUACUCUCUCCAUCUCUGGCACUGACAUUCUUCCAAACCUGAAGGAGCUCGAGAUCAAUGGUGAUUUUAUCCCUAGGGAGGUGGAAGAAGCAUUGAAGAAACACAAGAACAAACCCAAGUUUACAUACAACAAACCGGAAAACCAAUACCAGGAAGCCGGAAACAUACCAGAAAAGAAAGAUCCUCCAAGAUUCUCAUUUUUGAGGAAGAAAGAGGAUUGA
rnacentral:rRNA from 1 species